rnacentral:rRNA from 2 species
CACCGCGGUUAUACGAGGGGCCCAAGUUGAUAGAAUCCGGCGUAAAGAGUGGUUAAUAAACAAAAAACUAAAGCCGAACACCUUCAAAACUGUUAUACGUACUUGAAGACAGGAAGAUCUAUAACGAAAGUGGCUUUAAUCAAUAUGAACCCACGAAAGCUAGGGAA